GUUUCGAGUUUGAAGAUUCUCCUGUGUUAACAGUUGAGUUCAAGCUGAGUUCUGGAGACUGGAGCUGACACAUCAAGGUGAUAUUAGUACUUGUUUGUUUGCUUCUUUAUUUAAAAGAACUAUUUCAACCACCAAAGAGUUGGAUUACAUGGCAUUGGCGGUGGGAUGCAGACACAGGAUUGAGGAGAAUGGGAAGGUAUGAAAUAGUAGCUGUGGAGCGUGGGAAAGCAGACUGACCAGAGCAAAAGAGGCUGGAAGACGGUACUGCAGGCUCAGUUGACAGUUUUGGCAACCCCACAAAGGGACCCAGAGCAGACUUCUCUCCUUCGCCUGAACUCUAUGAGGAACCAGAGACUUGACCAGCAGAGGCCCUUUGUGCCCAUCUGCCUCCUCGGGGAGUCCUGACAAAUUUGGGUCAUGGAACAAUAACCCUGAAGUAAUGGCCAGACCCUCCAGCCCCUGUGACACCAGAGGGAUCAGACCAGAUAACGCCAAGGCCUUGGGCAACGACCUGCGUGACUGAUCAGCAAAAGUCCCCAUGACACAAGAUGAAAAGACGCUGUGGUUCCUUAUCACUGACAUGCUCCAUCCUGUUUGCCUAUAUAAUCACCAAGCCCCAACCCCAAGAUGGGCUCCCAGUCUUUAAGGCAUGAGCCUGCUGUGGCUCCCUUUGCUGGGCAAAGCAGUAAAACUGCUCUUUUCUUUGCUCUCAAAACUCUGCCUCCAAGUUUGAAUUUGCUUUUUGGGUUACAGAGGCUGAUUUUUCAGUAACAAUAUCACUGAACUGGGUAAGAAAUGACAAACUCAAAUAAAAAACCUGAAGAUUUCAUCCAGAUCAACUGGCAUUAAUUACAUAGGACUGAAUGAACUGAUAAAUAUAAUUUUAUGGCUUUUCCUAAAAUACACUGGCUUUUAAUCUUUAUUUCCCAGAAAAAACAAAACCUUGCCUCUUAUGCUGUGACCAACAAGUUGAUAAAUAUUUCAUCUUCAUUUAUGAAAGUAUACUUCAUCUUUUUCUCUCUACCUGAUCCUUCCAGAAUUCGGCCUCUCCAGCUGGAUCGCCUGUGGACUUGAUGCUUUAUUGUGACUAGAUUACAACCAUUUAUACUGAUCAUUGUUUUAAUUUGACCUCUUUGUUUUCAAAUUGUUUAUGCUUUCAAUCUCUAUACUAUUGAGACAAGAGGGAAGGGGGCAGGGCACAACCAUUCAAGGAAUGACACAGCAAUUAACAUCAAAAUGGUGGAAGAUUCAACUCCCAGUAGGCAGGAGAUUUGACUUCUACUAGACCUUGAGCUUCAUUAUACACUCAUUGUAAUAUAUUAGCAUAGUAAAUGACACUCCCACAGGCUAUGACAGCUUUGAGCCUAACCAUAAAUGUUCAAAGAGUGGGCAGCGGCCCAAUUCCUAGGAAUCCCAGCCCCUUCCCAGUGUAGCCCGUAAAAACGAGCACCACCACGCCUCACAGCCACUCUUGCUCCCUCGUGCCCAGAGGCAGCCCACACUCUGUCUAUGGAGUGUGCUAUCUACUUUUACUUUAACCUGAACACGGCAACUCCACACCUGGGGGCCUUUCUCUCACCUUCUGAAACAGCCUAUACUCUAUGUAGUGUGCAUCUCUCUAAAUAAAUCUUUAUUCAACUGUGGCUCACUCCUGAAUUCUUUCCUGAACGAAGCCAGGGACCCACACUUGGCAGGGCACAUCCCAGGGACUCAUCCAAGACCUGGGACAUGGCCCUUC